GAUGAACGCUAGCGGCAGGCUUGAUACAUGCAAGUCGAGGGGUAACGGGUCUGUAGCAAUACAGAUGCUGACGACCGGCAAACGGGUGCGGAACACGUACAGAACCUUCCUUCGAGUGGGAGAUAGCCCAGGGAAACUUGGAGUAAUAUCCCAUAGGAUCAUAGAGUGGCAUCACUUAGUGAUUAAAGAUUUAUCGCUUGAAGAUGGCUGUGCGGCUGAUUAGGUAGUUGGUGUAGGUAACGGCUCACCAAGCCUUCGAUCAGUAACUGGUGUGAGAGCACGACCAGUCACACGGGCACUGAGACACGGGCCCGACUCCUACGGGAGGCAGCAGUAAGGAAUAUUGGGCAAUGGAGGCAACUCUGACCCAGCCAUGCCGCGUGGAGGAUGAAGGUCCUCUGGAUUGUAAACUUCUUUUAUUUGGGAAGAAAUGCCAAUUUUCUAAUUGGUUUGACGGUACCAGAUGAAUAAGCACCGGCUAACUCCGUGCCAGCAGCCGCCGUAACAC
rnacentral:rRNA from 1 species